rnacentral:rRNA from 1 species
AACGAACGCUGGCGGCAUGCCUAACACAUGCAAGUCGAACGAGACCUUCGGGUCUAGUGGCGCACGGGUGCGUAACGCGUGGGAAUCUGCCCUUGGGUUCGGAAUAACAGUUAGAAAUGACUGCUAAUACCGGAUGAUGUCUUCGGACCAAAGAUUUAUCGCCCAGGGAUGAGCCCGCGUAGGAUUAGCUAGUUGGUGGGGUAAAGGCCUACCAAGGCGACGAUCCUUAGCUGGUCUGAGAGGAUGAUCAGCCACACUGGGACUGAGACACGGCCCAGACUCCUACGGGAGGCAGCAGUGGGGAAUAUUGGACAACGGGCGAAAGCCUGAUCCAGCAAUGCCGCGUGAGUGAUGAAGGCCUUAGGGUUGUAAAGCUCUUUUACCCGGGAUGAUAAUGACAGUACCGGGAGAAUAAGCCCCGGCUAACUCCGUGCCAGCAGCCGCGGUAAU